AUGAACGCUGGCGGCGUGCCUAAUACAUGCAAGUCGAGCGAACAGAUGAGGAGCUUGCUCCUCUGACGUUAGCGGCGGACGGGUGAGUAACACGUGGAUAACCUACCUAUAAGACUGGGAUAACUUCGGGAAACCGGAGCUAAUACCGGAUAAUAUAUUGAACCGCAUGGUUCAAUAGUGAAAGACGGUUUUGCUGUCACUUAUAGAUGGAUCCGCGCCGCAUUAGCUAGUUGGUAAGGUAACGGCUUACCGAGGCAACGAUGCGUAGCCGACCUGAGAGGGUGAUCGCCCACACUGGAACUGGGACACGGUCCAGACUCCUACGGGAGGCAGCAGUAGGGAAUCUUCCGCAAUGGGCGAAAGCAUGACGGAGCAACGCCGCGUGAGUGAUGAAGGUCUUCGGAUCGUAAAACUCUGUUAUUAGGGAAGAACAAAUGUGUAAGUAACUAUGCGCGUCUUGACGGUACCUAAUCAGAAAGCCACGGCUAACUACGUG
rnacentral:rRNA from 1 species